GAUGAAUUACCCUGCCAUUCCAGCUCAGCGCUUUAUUGACCUGGACGCCAUCACAAGCCAAUGUGAGAUCCUGUGUGCUGGAAAUCCUAAUGUGUUAUUGAAAUACUAGCUCAGGAUACUCUGAGUCAGCUAAGGCCAAUAGUAUUGGAACGAAUAUGCUCUGUACUUGGAGCCUACCUUAAUUCACCCCCUGUGGAAAGUGACGAAGUCUAUAGCACAGACAGAGGCUCUGUGUAUCAAAACUUUUUCCCCGAGGAGUUCAUACACAACCCACCCUUUGAGGUAACUGCAGACCCCUGGGGGCCAGCCGUCGCCCUCCCCCGGGACUCAGAUAACCAGACAGACACCCCCCUUUUCAACGCUACCCCGCAGCAGCAGCAGCCUAUAUCUGAAACCUUCCUACAAAUUCCACCAGAACUGCAGGCUGAUUUUGACACUUUCAGUGCCUAUCUGGACGACUUUGAGUUGCACCCCGUUCAAGACACACUCCUAACGAGUCAGACAGACUCACCCCCUAGUCCUCGGGUCGAGGGUGAACCAUCAGCACAGAAUAUUCGAGAGAUCCAAGCCGGUAUAUCACUCGUCACAGAUCCCCUCCUGACGAGAUAUCACCCCGAUCAGUCAAGCUAUUAUCAAGGUGACCAACACUGCUGCUACUGCCAUCUUUAUGGACACACCUACUGAGGGUCUCGUGUAAAUUGAUGCCGAUGUAACCGACCGGUACGUUUCUUCAGCUGUGACAAAUGUAUUUCUGAUUUUUGUUUCAUAAACGGUCAAACAUGGAUGAUUUAGCAGAUAGAUAAUUUUCUUUUCUUCAGUCUAUAAACGACAUAAAUGAACUAAGCAGUGAUGAGGAA